GUGAGGAAUAUUGGUCAAUGGGCGAGAGCCUGAACCAGCCAAGUCGCGUGAAGGAUGAAGGUUUUAUGAAUUGUAAACUUCUUUUGCAGGGGAAUAAAGUACGGUACGUGUACCGUUUUGUAUGUACUCUGCGAAUAAGGAUCGGCUAACUCCGUGCCAGCAGCCGCGGUAAUACGGAGGAUCCAAGCGUUAUCCGGAUUUAUUGGGUUUCAAGGGUGCGCAGGCGGGUUGAUAUGUCAGCGGUGAAAGUUUGCAGCUUAACUGUAAAAUUGCCGUUGAAAGUGUCGAUAUUGAGUGCAAAUGAGGUAAGCGGAAUGUGUUGUGUAGCGGUGAAAUGCUUAGAUAUAACACAGAACACCGAUUGCGAAGGCAGCUUACUGGGAUGCAACUGACGCUCAUGCACGAAAGCGUGGGGAUCAAACAGGAUUAGAAACCCCAGUAGUCC
rnacentral:rRNA from 1 species